ensembl:lncRNA
UGGCAGGCGAAAAACGAGUCCAGCAAGUUAGAAAAAAUUCCAAGUGUAAUUUUCCGCCAUCGUACAAAACCCCCUCUGCCCAGGAGUUGCUCAUCUUUAGUUCUCAGAAAGAGAGGAGAAGUUGUUUGUGCAUAUUUUCUCAUCUGAGUAGUCUACAGGUCCUAGCAGACACAACGUCUCUGAUAUUCUCAGAGACCUAAAAGGACAUGGAUAUGAAGCCUCUGAUGAUUCUCCUCCUGCUAGCAGCUGUCACCACCACCGCCCCUGCAGCAGCUGGUACCACCACCGCCCCUGCAGCACCUCUCACCACCACCGCCCCUGCAGCAGCUGUCACCACCACCGCCCCUGCAGCAGCUGGUACCACCACCGCCCCUGCAGCAGCUGGUACCACCACCGCCCCUGCAGCAGCUGUCACCACCACAACUCAUGCAGCACCUCUCACCACUACCGCCCCUGCAGCAUCUGUCACAACCACCACUCAUGCAGCACCUCUCACCACUACCGCCCCUGCAGCUGCUGUCACCACCACCACUCAUGCAGCACCUCUCACCACUACCGCCCCUGC